GUGCCCUCGCUCCCGUUUCUCACUAAGAAAAUCAUCCCCUUACGGUUGAAGUACUUCUGUGUUGCUUUAUCUCCUUAUAGGUGAUGUUAUCUCCGGAUGCUAAUUCUACGAGUACACUUUGAUUUCUCUUCCAUAAGAGAUGAAGAAAUAGAAUUCUCAGCUCCUCUAGCUCCAUGACUGUCUGGAUACUGCCAUGUUCCUGCCUUGAUGAUAAUGGACUGAACCUCUGAACCCGUAAGCCAGCCCCAAUUAAAUGCUGUCCUUAAAA